rnacentral:rRNA from 1 species
UACGAUACGAGUUUGAUCCUGGCUCAGAACGAACGCUGGCGGCAGGCCUAACACAUGCAAGUCGAGCGAACCCUUCGGGGUUAGCGGCGGACGGAUUAGUAACGCGUGGGAAUAUACCCUUUGGUACGGAAUAGCCUCGGGAAACUGAGAGUAAUACCGUAUGUGCCCUUCGGGGGAAAGAUUAUCGCCAAAGGAUUAGCCCGCGUUGGAUUAGAUAGUUGGUGGGGUAAUGGCCUACCAAGUCUACGACCCAUAGCUGGUUUGAGAGGAUGAUCAGCAACACUGGGACUGAGACACGGCCCAGACUCCUACGGGAGGCAGCAGUGGGGAAUCUUAGACAAUGGGCGCAAGCCUGAUCUAGCCAUGCCGCGUGGACGACGAAGGCCUUAGGGUUGUAAAGUCCUUUCAGAUGGGAAGAUAAUGACGGUACCAUCAGAAGAAGCCCCGGCUAACUCCGUG